UUUAACUGAUAAAGUGGUGAGGAUGGGACUUUUUUUUUUUCCCCCCAAAGGCAUAAAGAGGAAAAAGUUAGCCUGGUCCUCUGGAGAAAAAGAAAUAGGUCAAAAGCUAAAAGUAUGACCUAAUCCCUCUGUAGUCAGGCAGGAAAUAGGAGACGGGCAAAUGUUGUGCAAGAGAGAUUCCCCUGGGCUUGGCAAGAGGAUCCAUUGCGGGAGGCCGGGCCUCAGGACCCAUUAGACUCUCACACUUUGUCCAGCUGCUAUGAAAACUCUCUCCCAGUGUCUGCGUCCGCAGGAGGAUAGGCUCCCCUGUUCCUACCCUGGAAAGAGCGAGAGAGGCUGGAAGGGGACAGGAGUAAACCGGAGAGGGGACGUAAGUGGCCGCUUGUUGGUACCUCCCCCAGAUCCCUUUACAGGCUGGUGCACCCCCCGCAGCCGCUGGGUCACCGCGGCCUUCUUCGCUAGAGAAUUAGCGCAAACGGAGCUCAGCGCUUGGUAGGCUGUGUCCCCACCCCCAGCAGCCCGCAGCCAAUGGCUGACUGAGACGUACAAGCCCCGCCCCUUCUCCAGGUUUGAACCGAGACAUCAGCUCGUCUUGGGUCCGGAGCCUGCCAGCCUUUGGAUGGGAACUACACCAGCACAAUCCUGGUUAUCAGGCCUUUGGACUUGGACUAGAACAAAACCACCGGCUCUCUUGGAUCUCCAGCUUGCUGACUCACCCUGUAGUACUUGGGACUUGCUUUCUUCCGUAAUCACAUGAGCCAAUUCCUUAUAAUCAAUCAAUCAGUCAAUCCUAUUGGUUCUAUUUCCAUGGAGAACUCUAAUACAGAAUAAUAUUGUUAUAAUUGGUUCAAAGUGCUGUACUACAGAAGUAUAAUAAUAUAAAUCAUUUGUAUAAUUCUAAGUCUUCUAGUAGCCACGUUAAAAACAUAAAGAGAUGAAAUAA